rnacentral:rRNA from 1 species
UACGAAGGGGGCUAGCGUUGCUCGGAAUCACUGGGCGUAAAGGGCGCGUAGGCGGAUCUUUAAGUCGGGGGUGAAAGCCCAGGGCUCAACCCUGGAAUGGCCUUCGAUACUGGAGAUCUUGAGACCGGAAGAGGUAAGUGGAACUGCGAGUGUAGAGGUGAAAUUCGUAGAUAUUCGGAAGAACACCAGUGGCGAAGGCGGCUCACUGGCCCGGUACUGACGCUGAGGUGCGAAAGCGUGGGGAGCAAACAGG